GACGAACGCUGGCGGCGUGCUUAACACAUGCAAGUCGAACGAUGAAGCCGGAGCUUGCUCUGGUGAAUUAGUGGCGAACGGGUGAGUAACACGUGAGUAACCUGCCCUUGACUCUGGGAUAACUGCGGGAAACUGUAGCUAAUACCGGAUACGACCCUCGGAGGCAUCUCCUGGGGGUGGAAAGAAUUUCGGUCAAGGAUGGACUCGCGGCCUAUCAGCUAGUUGGUGAGGUAAAGGCUCACCAAGGCGACGACGGGUAGCCGGCCUGAGAGGGUGACCGGCCAGACUGGGACUGAGACACGGCCCAGACUCCUACGGGAGGCAGCAGUGGGGAAUAUUGCACAAUGGGCGUAAGCCUGAUGCAGCAACGCCGCGUGAGGGAUGACGGCCUUCGGGUUGUAAACCUCUUUUAGCAGGGAAGAAGCGAAAGUGACGGUACCUGCAGAAAAAGCACCGGCUAACUACGUGCCAGCAGCCGCCGUAA
rnacentral:rRNA from 1 species